rnacentral:lncRNA from 1 species
UUUCUCGUUGCUUCCUACGCUUCUGCUUAGGGUCUUCUUAUAGGCCUGUGGCAGCCGAGCUCCCGACAGCCGCGGGCGGCUCGCGUCGCCGCUUCCAGCCCCUCGUGGAAGAGGCCCUUAAUUCCUAACCUCAGGCACUAAGUUGCACCCCGUGACAUUUGAUGUCUCCUUUUUAGGGAAGCGAGCGGUGAGAUAGCACUGCUCGUCCCGGCCGCUGCGAUGCUGCGGCACCAAUUCGCUUUGAUUACACACAGAGGGGGAAAAAAGGAGACGCGGGAAAGGCGACGUUUCUCCCCGUCCCGGCAGGGAGUUUCUCCUGCAGGCCCCGGGACGGCGAUGCCGCAACCCACCGUUCACACCACGUGUGUGGAGCGAAAAGGACAGGGUUUCGCCAGGGGACCGAAACCCCCUUUCUGCCAUGGGGGGAGACGGACGGACGUCACUUUUUGGCCCCUCCGUACAGGGAACCGCGAAGCAGGACGAGCGCUAUGCAGAGAUGCUCGGACAGAUUGCUCUGGGAGGAAGCUGCAGCUGAAACGGAUGCGGUCGCUGUUGGCUUCUCCAUAACGAGAGCAACGUUGGCUCAGG